rnacentral:pre_miRNA from 1 species
UGAACCAUGGUUAAUGAACAUUGUAUAUUAUAUGGCAAUGGUCUUGACCAUGUUUUACC